GUGUCAUGCGGGGAGACCCUGUGCCGGCCAGGAGCGCAGCACCGGAGCGUCUUGGGUCCGGUUCCCACUCCGGAAGCAUCUAGAAGGGCCACCUCGUCUCUGCAGAGCAGGCCGCUGUCCCGGAGGCUGGGGCGUGGCUCCGAGGGGCCCCUGCCUGCCCCCCACCCUCCCCGGACUCUCCGAGGGUUUGGGAGCUGCUGUGCCUGGAAGUGGUGUUUGACUCUGUUUUCCAGGAGGAAAUUUUAAGCGUGAAGAUACCCCGUUUAUUUUAUUAUUGUCCCUCCCUGUCGUCAGUCCUGCUGCUCACCUGGCACCAGGAGUCGGCCCCGGGGAGCCCCGAGCGGCCCUCUCCCCCCGAUGGCCCAGAGCCAUCUCCUGGGGUGACGAAGCUGGGCCGAGGCCGGGC